ensembl:lncRNA
GGGUCUGACCUGCUCUGCUUAAACUGUAAAGAUAGUUCAUUCAUCAUGGAGUACUGCCACUGGAAAUGAGCAUGAAGAGAGAUUCAAGUUCCGCUCAGAAAAACUGAAGGACAGAGCUGCAUAGUUCACCGUGUCAAGCUCAUGUAUUUAUGGUUCAAAGGGCUCUCCUCACCCCCAGACUUGAAGCUUACAGAGGAAUCCAAGGCAGUUGGUGCUUAUUCUAUGAAACAAGGAAUUUGAAAACUACUCGAAUAUACAUACUGUUAACCUCAUUCAGAGAAGAAGUAGCACACAGAGGCACCGAAAACGUAUCAGAUAUCUCAAGAAGGUGGAUCUAAACGAUGGAAGUUUACCCUCACUCAGAAAGCUGAGGGACUGUAUGGGAAGAAGCUGCCUUCCAUACUUUUCCAAAUGUGCAUGAUGUCUUUAAGAAGAGAAAACAAACACAAUUCACUCAUAAAAGCCUGUCACUACUUGCUGGUCUUCCUACAGCUUCAUAAUAGUUCAAUCUGCAUGGUGCCUAAAAUGCAGUACAGCUAUUCAGGUCAUCUAUUAUCCAUGGAAGAGCUAAAAAUUUGCUAGCUUCCAUGUUGGACUGCAAAAUUUUCUACAGUCUUCCUUACUUACAUACUUAUAUGUAUCCCAAAAUGAACUCUUAAAGUUGUAAUUGAGAAAGAAGUGUCUAAAACCAUCUCCAGAGAGCCCAUUCUCGCAUCUAGUAUCCAUGAGCAGCAUUGAGUUUAGCUCAAAAUCCAUUUAGUGCUUCCAUUUGGCACUAGCAGUCAUGUUCUGCCCAUGGAGAGAACUCUUCCAGUAGACUGCUCUCACCAGCAGCCUGGAUAAUAGCUUCGGAUGAGGCCCAUAUCUGCCCUCCCAGUAACUCUCAGUAGCUCACUCACGAGAUAGGAAUAAUAUUUACAUUUUGCAUUAUGGAGUUGACUAAACUGCACGCAUACAACCAGCAUCAGAGUUUCAAUCCCAAAGACUUCUCAUUUCAAAAAAGUAUUUUUAGCAUUGGAAGACAGGGAGUUUGAGUCUGUUUUGGGAGUUUCAUUAUCCUAUUUACUCUUAAAAAUGUAUUGGUGGCCAGAGAUACUUCUGGCAAAGCCAAACCUGCUCACACUUCAGGUGAUUUCAACAGCAUUUUCCACUGAAGACCUCCAUGCAGAACUCCAUGUCAGUAUAUGGGAGUCCUGAGUCAGCUGGCAGCCCUAAGCAAUCAGGACAAAGCAGCCAGUGCCUCAUACAGGUGCACUGAAUCCCUUUUUACAAGGUCUUACAAUUUUUAACUGGCUGUGAAAGAAAUCAUACAGUACUUUCCUGGCACAGCAGCACAUCAGUUCCAGAUAUGGAAAUAACUUCGAUGCAAAGUGGUGAUGAAUGGCGUUCUCUGCUUGUUUCUUAAG